GUUGUGGGACAGCAGAGGCCUGGCUCCUCCCAGCCUGAGGAAGGGAAGGAACAAGUUGCAUAAAUAAGAUUGAAGAUGAGAAGUUGUGGCAGGAAGCAUAGGCAGACAAUCAGAUCGCCAGCUCCUGAGGUGAGGCUCCCUAUACUGACAGGACGACAGCUGAAGUCAAUGGACAGUCGUCCGUUCUUUAAAGGCAUUGGAAUGUUCGUGGACUCAUCCAACCGAAAAUGCUACAGAAGUCAAAAAGUUUAUUUUAAUUGCAUUUCCAGGUGGAAUUUUUGAAUUAAAUAUAUAUGUUUAUCAAUUGCGACGACCAUACAGAUAAAAUGUGGCAUUUCUAGUGUAGAUUGUAUUAAGGGCAGGUUGGUCCAGGUCAAGUUAGACACUUAAACUUAUGUUUGCAUCGCUCAUAAAAUCGCCCGUUAUGUGUUAGCCGACGUGUAUUCUUGUUGUGGUGGUUUAAAUCACUCUGGCUAGUGGAUUCAUCUUUCCAAUAUCUGACUUUUUCAUGUUUCGGAGAGGAUGUUUAUUUUUUGUAUCUGCAUCUUGGCUGAGAGAACAACCUUGAAAAGCCUAGUUGCCUGAUGGAAUUGUGCUUAUAGCCCUCGUAGUGCGUUUUUUUUUAGA